rnacentral:rRNA from 1 species
GACGAACGCUGGCGGCGUGCUUAACACAUGCAAGUCGAACGAAGUGGCGAACGGGAGAGUAACGAGUAAUCAACCUGCCCUUCAGAGGGGGACAACAGUUGGAAACGACUGCUAAUACAGCAUACUGGAGGAGGGGUUUGCGUCUGAUUAGCUAGUUGGAGGGGAAACGGCCCACCAAGGCGAUGAACAGUAGCCGGUCCGAGAGGAUUGACGGCCACAUUGGGACUGAGGCACGGCCCAGACUCCUACGGGAGGCAGCAGUGGGGAAACUUCCGCAAUGGACGGAAGUCUGACGGAGCAACGCCGCGUGAGGGAUGACGGCCUUCGGGUUGGAAAGCUCUUUUAAUCGGGACGCGGUACCGGAAUAGAAAGCCACGGCUAACUACGUGCCAGCAGCCGCGGUAAUAC